UUUUUUUUUUUUCAUGGAGCAUCCAUAUCUCUACCUUCUGCCUCUAGAACUCAGCAUAAAACAUAGCACGAUACUGAGGAAUGGAAUUAAAACUACUGUUCAAAGAAUGAUUUCAAGAACAUGUUGCAACAGCUAUGCUCUGAGCACCAAAAAUGUGCCUUCAGAAACCCAGUACAGUACCAGCCCCUUGUGACAAGGAGCACAAUGGGAGACGGUCACCCCGUUGUCCUACCUGCCCCUUCUCUGCCAGUCGGGGUUCCUCCUGGAUCUAUACGCAUAGGGGAAAUCACAUAGGCGGUAAAUUUCACAAAUUCUAAUAUUACAGGAUUUUAGUAAUCUCUUCCCAGUUUGGAAUUCCUAUUAAAUGCAGUUCUAGUUUAGGUCAGUUUACUUCUUUAUAUUCCUAGAAAACCUCCGGGACUUCUGUUUUAAGUUAUGUGUUAUAUUUUAUCAAUAAUAAUGUUUCUUAUGAUUUAAUAAGAAUAUACCAAGAGUUGUAUUAAGUGCAUGCUAUCAUCUGAACUUUUGUGUCUCCCCAAAUUCAGAUGCUAAAAUCAUAUCCCCCAAAGGUGAUGGUGUUAGCAGGUGGAGCUUUGGGAGGUACAGAAGUCAUGAUAUAGAACCUUCAUGAAAGAAAUAUGUGCUUUAUAAAAGAGGCUCCAGAGAUCCUUAGCCCACUUCUACCAUAUGCGGACAAUGAAAAGGUUCCAGCUGUGAACCAGGAAGGUGGCCCUUACCCAAGCUUCCUGGCACCCUGACCUUGGACUUCCUAACCUUUGAAACUGCUAGAAAGAAAUUUCGGUUGCUUAUGAGCUACCCAGUAUUUUGUUAUAGCGGCUCACAUAGAAGGAGAUAGUGCAUUUCGUGUUUAAUCUCACGUAACUCUAAAAAUGUUUAAAGAUAGAUACAAUAAAAUUCCAUGGCAAAAAUACCCCACGGUAACACGAUUUCAUACGAUACAAUUGGCAAUUUUCUCUCGCCCAACCCCAUUUUUAGAUAGACAGUGGUAGGAUAAAGUUUUUAGUUUCUGCAGGUGAGAUUGGGCAAUGAAAUAUCAGACAACCUUGUCUGGGUGUUAGAGAGGCUAAGGAUGUGUCCCUGAAUUUCCAACAUUCUCCUGGCUCAACAGGCUGAGACAAGAGAGACCACAGGGAAGGGCAGGAAAUUCCAGUGAUUCAGUGGGAUGCAGAAUCUCCCCAUCGAUAUUUAAGCUGCAGGGGAUACUUGCCACCAGAGGAUGCUAAAUCGAAGUCAGAAGCCAGACAGGUUUAGAAUGCCUAGGAUGGACUCUUCUACCUUCUAGCCAGCCUACUGAAAAAGACUCACUCCAAUUAUUUCCCUAAGGCAACCCCUUGUUUUAUGUGAUUAAAUUUUCGUGCCCACUUAUCCUGUUAUGGCAGUCGUCACUAUUCUAUCAUGCUUUUGUUAUACUGUAGGAAAACAAGAUUCAGAGAAGUAAUAUUGCUCAAAGGGGCAGUAGGUAACAGAUCUGGACAACGAACAGGGGUAGGUCCCCCUCCAAAGCCCACAUCUGGCAUCACUACAACCAUGACUCCUAAACAGGAUGAUCUCUGAGCAGGUCCCACCCAUGUGUCUGACGCUGUGCGGAGCACUUUGUAUGCAUAUGUCACUUAAUUCUUAAAAUCACCCAGCAGAACUGAAGUAGAAUUUCCCUAUUGUACAGAUACUGAAACCGAAGCUAUCUAUGUUCAGUAACUGGUGUAAGAAUUCACAUCUGCUAAAGGUCAGAGACAAGGCUCAAGAUUAGAUCUCUAUGACUACAGAGAUGCUGGGAGGUCAUGGAGGAUGAGCCCGAGGAAAGAGUUAAGAGUUAAUUUUCAGGCAAAACAAGAAUGACGGUUUUUUCAAAUAAGUAUUGAGAGAGAAAAAGGGAAUUUUUCGCAAGCUAUGCCCUCACUCUUGUACCUUCAAAGGCAGGAGGUGGGGAUGGGGUGUAAAGAAGUUGACACCAUAUGAUUUGAGUCUGCAUCUUGGGCACAUACAGGGACCCAGGAGGUCAACCUAAGUAACUCUGGGCCAUAAAAUCAGAACAGCCCUGAUUAUCUAGAUGGAGGACCAGGCACAGAAAAGCUAAAUUCCUCUUAGCACACACUUGCCUAUAAUAAAGUAAAACAAAUACAAAAUCUAAAAAUUUAUCCUAAGGAAGAGACAGUGCAUGGAAUUGACUUGCUCAAUCCUCCUAUUUUAAGAUGGAGAUGAGUAAGACGUCAUUGACAUGGCCAUCUGUAUUGAUUUAAUGAUUUUAUUGAAUAUAAAGUACUUCUGAGGGUCUCUACAACUUUAGCCAACACUUCUUCUAAACAACACUUUUUCUUAGACUAACUAAAGAUCUUGAACUGUCUUCAAAUAGGAAAUCAAGAAUAGCCGUAAGUAUUUGUCAGGACUUAAUGCUGCAUUUAGGGAUAGGCCGCUGCUCUUGCACCUAUUUUGAGGGAGGCUUAUGCUCUCAAGUACUUUGAAUGCUGUGCAGGUAUUCAGCAGCCUGCUGGGAGGCGGGGUCUGAAUACAGCUGUGCGAAGUUGGACCAGCAUCCCUGCUACGCCCUGUCAAGCUGCAUCCAUCGGAUUAGGUUAGGAGUUAAGAUGUUACUCAAUGUGACCAAUGGGAUCAGAAGCAAUAACACAACCUGUCAGCUAGUGCCUUCCUGACAAUUUCAGGGUAAGGAGAUUGCUUCCUGCAGUUCCGAGCAGGGAAGGGGUACACAUGGCAUGGGAGAGUGGUCGUGGGGUGUCUAUUUGGUUUCUUAUUUACAAUAGUGGUGCUUGGUGGGAAAGGAGUGAUAAGUCAGUCUUAUUUUCCUAGGCUUAUUUUAGGAUUUUUCUUGUAAGCUGUAAUACUAAGACUUUUCUUAUAGAACAAGAGUCACAAGAGCUUACAGGCUGCAUUUCAGGGGCUGGAGGGUCUCCUGAGAGCAAGGCCAGAGAGAAUUUUGAGGUCUUCUCUUUCAUAAGGGUCACUUCCACCAACCCUGCAUUCAGACAAGGCCAGCAAAUGUAAUUGAGGGUUGAGGAAACCAGACGCCAGCUAGGAAGUGAUUGAAUCUUGCCUUCUAUUUGCUGGCCUUGGGGCCAUGGGGCUAGCCUCAGUUUGGUGCCCAUGAAUACCCUGAGAUAGGCAAACAGGAAGCAGCAGCAGCUUGGCUCCCGUCUGAACCAUGUAGAUGAUACCCUUGAAUGCGUCUGCUAGGAAUGACUCACAAACAUAUCACCUGACACUUCAGCGGUAGAAAAUGCAAAUGAGGAAGGACUCUUCAGAGAGCGAGUUCUCAGAAGUGUGAUGACCUCCAAACUUGCAAGGGAUCAUUGCCCACGAAUUCCUAAGCACUGUAUGAUUCUCUGUCCCUUCUUCUAACAUCAAGCCUUCCUGAUACACAUCAACUACACACAGAGAGCCAGAGAAGCAAAAUAAAGACUUCAUUUUAUUUGGGUGAAUCAUCCUGAAUUCUCCUUGUUUGUUCAAGUCUAGGUCCACACCUGUUCCUUUUAUUGUUUGUGUUUUUGUUUUGUUUUGUUUUUCUUCGUCUUUUUAGAGAAGUCCCUAGGCUGGGGCAGAAUCAGAGCUGCAGCUGCAGGCCUAUGCCACAGCCACAGAAACAUGGUAUCUGAGCUGCAUCUGUGACCUACGCUGCAGCUUGCAGGAAUGUCAGAUUCUUAACCCACUGAGCAAGGCGAGGGAUCAAACCCCCAUGCUCAAGGAUACGAGUCAGAUUCUUAACCUGAUGAGUCACAAUGGGAACUCCAAAUCUUCUCCUUUGAUAUUGCACAGCCAAUACUCAGUAUCUCAGUGUCACUACUGAGAAAAUUGGUUUUGGAACCAUAUUAUCUGAGUUUAAAUCCCAAUUCAACAGCUUUCUAGUUGUGUGACCCUAGAAAAGCUACUUGAAUUCCCUGUGCAAGAUGGGGAUGCUAUUAGCAUCAUUCUCAUUUAAAUGAGUUAAUUUGUAAACAUUCUUCAGUGUCUGGUACUUAAAUGGUAAGUACUCCAUAAAUACUAGACAUUCUAUUCUGACCCUGGGCUCUGCCUCCUCUUUCUUCUUCUGAAGCUAAGUCUUGCUCUUCAGACUUAGUGUUUAUAUUUGGAUUGUGUUGCUUAAAACCUGAUUGUUCUCUCAAGGACAUUGGCUUGGAGCUCCAACGAUUUGGACUGAAUACUGAGAUAACAUUUCUCUUUCUAGCCAGCCUUUGAGAAAUCUGAUUUCAGGCAUUAGCCUUCCAAAGAAGCCAGUUUUCUGAAAUCAGGCAUGAUUUCACCACCCAGAUCUCUGUGGCAGGCAACUAAAUCUAUUCAUUUGGAAGCUUCUUGAUGCAUGUCAUAUCUUGGUUCUUCCUCCCAUAAACUGGCGCUUUGGAUUGGCUCUCCUCAAAUGACUGUAUUUCUAAGGCACAUGGAAGAUACUCAGUGUUUCUGAUCAUCUUUCCAGUUAUUUUUCUAAGCCUAAUUAACCGGUUAUGGAGUGCUUUCAACUUCCAUUUUGUAAGAGCAGGUUCAGGUAUUGAUUUGCCCUGUGGCUGGGGGAGAGCUUCCCCAGAAACAGGACUCACCUCCCGACCUUCCUGAGAAACUUAUCCAUUUGGCAUUUCCUUGCGUUUACCACAUGUCCCAGUGGGCGUGGCUCUCUAUACACAAUACCACCUUGCAAGCUUCAACUCUGUCUGUUAAAUCUAGGCAAAUAAAACCCUUUGCAUGUUUUAUUUGCAUCUUUCCAUAGCACUUUAUUAGAAAUAAUAAAGUGCUAUGGAAAGAUGAUCUGGGAAGUACAAUCAGCAAUAACAAAUAUUGUAGCCACAUGCAAGAGUCAUGUAUGGAAACUAUGACCAUUAAAAAGUUCUGUAUGUUGUCCAGGUGGCAGAACACCUGGGAAUCACAGAACACCAUGAUCCUUGCACAGCCCCAGUAAAAAAAAGAUGCAGUUAAUCCUGGUAUCUGAACUAGGUAUGACUAGGUAUGACUUUUAUGAGCAGAAAAUAUGACUAGAUUGCUGUGUAUAAAUGCAACAGAAAACCAGAGCAAUAUAACUCAAAUCUAUAAAAAAAAAAAAAAAAACAACCUCAUGACCUAAGCAUGAUCACAUACUCCCGAGUAUUUCCCUUGACAUCAUUUACAACUCGUCAUUAAUGUGGUCAUUGACAGGUACACAGGAAGUCUAGUUAAGAGCAGGUCCCAAGUUUCAAGAGAAAACAGGGCAAGUAAAGUUUUUACAUGAGAAUUGUAUCCCCAUUAAGUUAUUCUUAUACAAAAGAAAAAGUCUGGUACUAUUUGAUUUUUGUAGAAGAAUAUUUUAGAACAAGAGGAGAAAUAGUUUUGCUGCCUUCAAUUGUCCCACGUCCUUAGAAAGUUGGGGAGAGGGAGAAGAGAUAGAGUAGGACAAUUUUCAUUAAGUUCUGAGUCAUUCUCUCAUAUUUCCCAUUCAAGUCUCUGCUAUCUUGGGCCACUCACUGAUCCAUUGGAUGACUCCGGGCUCUAACUGAAGUUGCCUUUCCUUGGCUACUCUCAGACUUGGGACCCCUGAUCUGUAGAAAAGGCCAUCUCCUAGUUCCUUCCAUGCUCCCUAAAAGAACACCAUCUCUUCUUAAAGCCAGCGCCAUGGAAAAGCCUGGUAUCACCUACAUCUUACGCCCGGGAUCUUCCUCUUCCCAAGCAUCUCCUUUUAGUUCCUUCACAAGUAGCCCUCCUUUUUCUUAGUUUGCCCUCUGCUUGCUCCUUAAAGCAUAAAGUUGUAGCUUGCCUUUUACUCUUGAUGGCCCAGGUUGGUGUUUUCCUAUUCAAUGGCAGAAUUUCCAUUGGAAUAGUACACAUAGGUUUCAGUAAUACCCACACACAUGAACCAAGGGAAUUAUUCCAAUGCCAAUGUGGUAUUCCCAAAGGACAUUUCGAUGCAUGGGGAAUUGGCAGUCCAUAGUCGGAUUGGGCUAGAAACUCAGCAUCUGCAAAAGGGAAGUUCUACAAGUGCCUGACAUUCCAAUAGCUCCUUUCUGGGAAUGAAGUGAAAGGCUGUGUCUUCCAUUGUGUCAUGUUUUUUUGUUACCCUGACCAUGACUCAUUGGACCAUGUGUUUGCACAACAGCUAUUGACAAAUAGCUGUAUGCUAGACACAGGGGAUCCAUGUACCUAAAUCUAAAGUUUCACAAAGGGACUCUUCCCACUAGAAUGUUCUAAAAUAGAUAGUGAGAAACCAACUUAACCUGACCUCUCUCUAUUGGGAA
rnacentral:lncRNA from 1 species